GAUGAAGAACGCAGCGAAAUGCGAUACGUAAUGUGAAUUGCAGAAUUCAGUGAAUCAUCGAGUCUUUGAACGCACAUAGCGCCCCCUGGUAUUCCGGGGGGCAUGCCUGUCCGAGCGUCAUUGCUGCCCUCAAGCACGGCUUGUGUGUUGGGCCUCCGUCCUCCUCCCGGGGGACGGGCCCGAAAGGCAGCGGCGGCACCGCGUCCGGUCCUCGAGCGUAUGGGGCUUCGUCACCCGCUCUUGUAGGCCCGGCCGGCGCUUGCCGACACAUCAAUCUUUUUUCCAGGUUGACCUCGGAUCAGGUAGGGAUACCCGCUGAACUUAAGCAUAUCAAUAAGCGGAGGA
rnacentral:misc_RNA from 1 species